rnacentral:rRNA from 1 species
UACGUAGGGAGCAAGCGUUGUCCGGAAUCAUUGGGCGUAAAGCGCGCGUAGGUGGCCAUGUAAGUCCGCUGUGAAAGUCAAAGGCUCAACCUUUGAAAGCCGGUGGAUACUGCAUGGCUAGAGUACGGAAGAGGCGAGUGGAAUUCCCGGUGUAGCGGUGAAAUGCGCAGAUAUCGGGAGGAACACCAAUUGCGAAGGCAGCUCGCUGGGACGUCACUGACGCUGAGACGCGAAAGCGUGGGGAGCAAACAGG